rnacentral:rRNA from 2 species
UACAGAGGGUGCAAGCGUUAAUCGGAUUUACUGGGCGUAAAGCGCGCGUAGGCGGCUAAUUAAGUCAAAUGUGAAAUCCCCGAGCUUAACUUGGGAAUUGCAUUCGAUACUGGUUAGCUAGAGUGUGGGAGAGGAUGGUAGAAUUCCAGGUGUAGCGGUGAAAUGCGUAGAGAUCUGGAGGAAUACCGAUGGCGAAGGCAGCCAUCUGGCCUAACACUGACGCUGAGGUGCGAAAGCAUGGGGAG